UUGUCAGUUGCUAAUGCUAACAUUAGCGCAAUACUUAGCUCAAUGUAACGCUAACAGCCGGUUACACUCCCUAGCUACUAACAGCUCAACUAGCUCUAAACAACAAAAUAACUCACCAUCACUCCGCUUAAUCUCCACAUAUAUCCCUACUGUUAUUCUGCCGAAGUAAACGGCCAUGGUUGCUCGUGUGUGGACUCAGCGAUAUAGGUAAGGAUCUCCAGCAUCUCACUUUCGAUAAUCUUCUUAGCCAACUCGGGAUCAGAAUCCACCAUGUUGAACACUGUCACAAUACCACGGUGUUGGAUUUGAGGAUUGUCAUGAAGACACACGCUCUGGAGGAUCUCAAGCCAUUGUUCUCUACUGGAGCCAAAAGUUUAAUCAGACAAACGUCCAAUACUGGAAAUCUGUUCUACCCCAAUUUUAUAGCUUCUUUUGUGCUGCAGUGAGCAUAGCCAGUCCACCAGCUGCUGCAAUCUGUAGCUUCUCAUCAUCCUCACCACAAAGGAGCACAAGAAGUUUCAGCUUGUCAUUACCAUCUUCAAGAUAUCUGUCCUGAACCUGUCAAGAUGUCUUUGAGCAAGGACACUCCAUUGGUGAUAAUGAAGGAGGCUCGGCUCAUUUUGGUGGAAGAAUGGAUGAUAGCUUCAAU